rnacentral:rRNA from 1 species
UGCCUUACACAUGCAAGUCGAACGGCAGCACGGGGCAACCUGGUGGCGAGUGGCGAACGGGUGAGUAAAGCAUCGGAACGUGCCCUGGAGUGGGGAUAACGUAGCGAAAGUUACGCUAAUACCGCAUAUUCUGUGAGCAGGAAAGCAGGGGAUCGCAAGACCUUGCGCUCUGGGGAGCGGCCGAUGUCGGAUUAGCUAGUUGGUGGGGUAAAGGCCUACCAAGGCGACGAUCCGUAGCGGGUCUGAGAGGAUGAUCCGCCACACUGGGACUGAGACACGGCCCAGACUCCUACGGGAGGCAGCAGUGGGGAAUUUUGGACAAUGGGCGGAAGCCUGAUCCAGCCAUGCCGCGUGAGUGAAGAAGGCCUUCGGGUUGUAAAGCUCUUUCGGCCGGGAAGAAAUCGCAUGGGUCAAUACCCUGUGUGGAUGACGGUACCGGAAUAAGAAGCACCGGCUAACUACGUGCCAGCAGCCGCGGUAAUACGUAGGGUGCGAGCGUUAAUCGGAAUUACUGGGC